rnacentral:sRNA from 1 species
GUUUUAAAUUUGAUGGAGCAAUGGGGAAUGGAGCAAGCUGUAAAGCUGCUCUAGUUAAUCAAAGUGUGAAAAACUCAAAUUACUGUCUUCCAUCUUAUACUGCUUAUAAGAACUAUGAUUAUUCGGAACCUGGAAGAAACAAUGAACAGCCAGGCCUCUGUGGCCUAAGUAACUUGGGAAAUACGUGUUUCAUGAACUCAGCUAUUCAGUUACCGGUUUACUAAAAUAGUGAGCAUACAUGAUCACUUGAGAAUUGGGCUUCUGGAGCACCUGAACAGAAAGGGAGUGGUUCAUAUUCAGCAUUACAAAAGACAACUUUCUCUUUUUGAAGGGGAUUACUUUGGCUAUUUUCCAGUGUUUGAGCAACACACCUCCACUUACUGAGUAUUUCCUCAAUGAUAAGUAUCAAGAAGAACUGAAUUUUGACAAUCCCUUAGGAAUGAGAGGUGAAAUAGCUAAAUCUUAUGCCGAACUGAUCAAGCAAAUGUGGUCUGGAAAG